rnacentral:SRP_RNA from 1 species
GGAUUGCUUGAGCCCAGGAGUUCUGUAGUGUGUCAUACCAAUAGGGUAUCUGCACUAAUUUGGCAUCAAUAUGGUGACCUCCUGGGAGCAGGGGACCACCAGGUUGCCUAAGGAGUGAUGAACAACCCAGGUCAGAAACACAGCAGGUCAAAGCUACUCUACUGAUCAGUAGUGGGCUCACAACUGUGACUAGCCACUGCCCUCCAGCCUGGGCAGCAUAACGAGA